AAAGUGAUUUAACAAGUGACGUUGAUAUUACUUUAAAUUCAUCCAUUAUUAUAAAUCAGGUAGACACAGCCACAGAGAAUUUAUUGUGUGAUAGUAAUUCUACUGCAAUAGUUCAUAAGAAUCAUCUACAUGAAGGUGAUUUAACAAGAGAUAUUGAUAUUAAUUUAAAUUCAUCCAUUUCUAUAAAUCAGAUAUGCCCAGCCACAGAGAAUGUAUUGGUAAGGUUUUUAAUAUUAAAUAACUAGUAACUGCUAAUUAUAUUGGUCUUACAAACAAAUUAAACGCUUUUUAUUGCUAAAAGUAGGUUUUUAUUAUUAAUUUAGGUUUUUAGCUUUUUAUUAUUAAUUUAAUUUGAACUUAUAUUUUAGGAAAGUGAAUCUCUAGAGUAUCAUUUGCCAUCUAAUGAUGAAUUAUUCAAACUAAACAAAAAUCCUGAUAUCCUCCAAAAAUUAAACUUCAUCAAAAAACAUUCUGUCCAGCCAUCAUUCUUCAGCAAUAUCCAACUAGAUUUACAAAAGCUCUAUUUUAGAAAAACAUCAGAUGGCAAAAAAAUUUCACGAAAGUGGUUAUCAGUCCUCUGUAUUGAUAAUGAACUCAAAGCUGUAUACUGUCCGUUUUGUAUUGCAUUCAGUUCAUCUCCUACUACAUUUUCUAAUGGCUGUAAUAAUUUUAAACAUAUCCAUGAAGUUGUUAAAAUACAUGAAGAAUCGUUAACACACAGGCAUUCAGUAGAAGCCUAUAUUCAAUCGUCAAAUGAUAAGUCUGUUAAAUUUGGUAUUAAUUAAAUUAUUAUUUUGACUGAACUUUAUGUUGGAUUUUAGGUAACAACAAAAACAGCAUACAUGAUACUAACAAUUGUUUACAAUGUGUAUACAAACUUGUAUACAAUUUAAACAUGCAUGUCUCGGCUUAUACUCAACUAUGUGCUUCAUAUGAGUUUUUUCUAACUUUGUCAGUCACCGAAGUCAACUGCGAAAGGACAUUCAGCAAACUUAAGCUUGUUAAAACAAGACUCAGAGCCAAUAUAAGUCAAGAUAAUUUAGAAGCACUCUUAAUUAUGAGUGUUAAAAAACAAUUACUCAAUGAAAUUGAAAUUUCAAAUGUCAUUGAAUAUUUAAAAGCUAGUUCUACAGUAAUGACUAAAAUGCUUUCAAUAUAAAAUUGUCAUUUAAGUUUUGUUUUAUAUAAUUUAAGUAUUUUCUUAACUAUAAUAAAUAAUAAUGCAUUAAUUUGUAUGGAUUAUGAUUCUUCUUCUUCAUUCUCUGGCAUGACUACUCUCUAAGAGAUUUUGCUGACAUUACUAAACUUUGCCACCUAUCUCUAUCUAUGAAUUAUAUUAUAUGAAAAAAAUUGUUUUGAGUCUAA